rnacentral:rRNA from 1 species
UACAGAGGGUGCAAGCGUUGUUCGGAUUCAUUGGGCGUAAAGGGUGCGUAGGCGGCGUGGUAAGUCGGGUGUGAAAUCUCGGAGCUUAACUCCGAAACUGCAUUCGAUACUGCCGUGCUUGAGGACUGGAGAGGAGACUGGAAUUUACGGUGUAGCGGUGAAAUGCGUAGAUAUCGUAAGGAAGACCAGUGGCGAAGGCGGGUCUCUGGACAGUUCCUGACGCUGAGGCACGAAGGCCAGGGGAGCAAACGGG